UUCACUGUAAAAUUGUUUCAGUCGGAGUCUUCAGUGGUGUUAUAACUUUUCUUUUUCCUCUUAUGUGAUUUGUCUUGUACAGAGAAGACAGAAAACCAGUCCAGACCAGAUACCAGCUGAGGGGGCAGCAUACCUUACAAGCCAUCUUUAAAAAAUAACGUAAGUUUUUCCCAUGCCAUAUUUUUUUUUGUUUUGAUCAAAAUUACUUCACUGUAAAUAUUAUUAUUUCAAAAUUGUCUUCACUUGUUAACUUUUUUGUCGCCCACAUUAUUUGUCCUUUACAGAAAGGAAACAAGUCGAGACCAGACUGGAGGUGUAUUGUCAUGAUGUCUGAAACCAGCGUGUUCGUUUUUGUGGUCAAUUGGAGUGGAACAUGAAGCUGUGGUGGCCUCACUGUGAAGCUCUCAUCGCCUACCUGAUGACCUACAGUCACACUAAGAGACCAGAGCUGCUGGAGAGAUUCUCUCAAGUGUAUGAGUACACCUUCAGUCACGUGAGUUAUUACUGAGGGAAACGUACCCGAGGAAAAAUCUCAUGCUCCACCUCUGAAGUGUUUAAUGUCAACAAAUGACCGUCACGAUGACUUGUAACUUAUGAAGCCUCACUUAAGAAGCACUGAAAUAUUCCUUUAAUGUUCAUAUUGUAGAAACAUUGGGUAGAAUAGAAAAGAAAAGAAGUUGUAGAGAAGAAAAAAGAUGUUAAAAUAGACGAAAAAGAGAUGCCAAAAAUAGAAUAGCAGAGACUAGUAAUGGGAGUGUGCUAAAUAACCGUGCAAGAUUAACGAAGACAGGGCCCAUAUCUUCUUAACGGUAAGACAAUGUGUAAAUUAGUGACUAAUGUGAACGUCUAGCUCAAAAAGGAUAGUCGAAUUCGGGGCGUGGAAAGAAAAAGUGAGGAGUAAAACCCGGAGCCCAGGGUAAUUGGCAAAUAAAUGAUGAAAAGAGAUAAAGAGUAAAAGAGACAAAGUGAAAAAGAGAAAAAGGCUGAGAUGGCCAAAAAAGAGAAAAAGUUAACUCUAUGUUAGGGACGACGCGAUUGGGCAUACAAACCGGUGAGGACAGUUUAAAGAAGAACAAAAGGCCUAUAUACUAUAGUAAGGAAACAUUGAGCUCAGUGUGUGUGUGUGUGAGAGAGAGGAGUGUGUGUAUGGGUGCUGAGCUGUGAGUGUGAGUGCAAAAGAGUCUGUGUGCAGUGAGUGGUGUGUACACAAAGUUGGGGAAUGAUCUAGCAUAGGUUUAAGUGAUUAACUUAUGAUAAAGUGAUAAAUGAUGUCUUAUUAAAUAUAUAAUGAUAUGAUAUAAGAAAUUAACAUAUAAGGGAAGAGAUACUGUUGCCUUUGUAGUGCUAAAAAAAACAUAUGAGCCCUGGUUUCUUUGUACAGGGACGUUAAUAGAAUAAUCAACUGCUAUGAGCCUCUCAGGAUAAAGAGGACGUUUGUACACCUAAUAGUAAGAAAUGAGCCCCUUAUUAGAUGAGGAGGACUUUGGAUGGUGAUAACAUCCUCGAUUAAAAUGACAAUUAAAGAAGUGUACACAAGCACAUUUUUGUUCAUACAGAUACAGAAAAAAACAGAGUGAAAGAUUGGAAUGAUUUGCUGACUGAUGGGUGUGGUUUUCCUCUGUGUGUGUGUGAAUAUUUAAAGUGAAUGGUCACUUGCUGAUGAUCAUGUUUAGAGGGAAGUCCUAGUUAAAAAUUGGAAAACUCCAGGGAGCUUUUCCUCCCUCUUUCUUUCUCUUCUUACAGGCCUGAGAACAGAAAGAAAGCUAAAAAAUCUAGUUUAACUAUCCUAGAUGUGUGAAAAUUUUAAAUGGUAUACCAUGAUCAGGGGAAUGGUGUAUAAUAAAUUUAGGUAGUCUUAUGGUAGAAGAAAUCUUUAAAUAGUGGUAGUAAACAUUUUAAAUUGUAUUGAAUGAAGUGAUUGUAAUGUACUAAACAUUUGAUUUGUUCUUUGUCCCUAACUCUGAUGCAUGAGAGGGGAGAGGAGAAUGAAAGGAGUCUGACGUUGGAGCUCCCAUGAGACAGAUAAGAAGAUAAAUGGCUGUGCUUCAAACAAGAGGGGGCUUGCGGAUGAGAGGCUCACCAGGUCCUGCUCCCAUUUGACAGGCCAGUACAGUUUUGUCUACAAACUCUUCUCCUAUGUGUCUGCUGCUACUUAGUUGUACAUACACACAUUAAUAGUGGGAACACAUUUAGUUGGGUGUAUAUAUUUGUUAGUGCUAGACAAUAAGAGCAGUAGUUUUGUUGGUAAAAAGAAAGGCUUGGCAAUAGAAAUAUUGCAUAACCAGAUUUAUUAACCCAGUCUGUUAAUGUUCACUUUUAAUUCAUAGAUGAUUGAACCAAAAAAAUAGUAAUUUACUUUUUUAUCUUUGGAUUUACUGAGAAAACUGUUCUGCUCACAGCUGUGGUCAAUUUACUCAUGUUGUAUUUUAUUUCUCAUUUCAUUUUAGAGAGGAGAUGAAACCAGACCAGAUGAUAGCAGACCAGACCAGAGAGGAGCUGAGGGGGCAGCCUGCAUCACAAACUAGCUUCAAAAGAAAGGUAAGUUUUUUUUUGAAAUUCCACCUUAUUACCUGGUAACUGUUACAUUAUUUUACAAGUAUCUGAAAAUUUUAAUUAAUCUUCCCUUUUUUUCUUUCCAAGUUAUUUGUCUGUUAUAGAAAUGAAACAAGCCUAGACCAAACUGGAGGAGACCAGAGUGGACCAGAUGAUAGCAGACCAGACCAGAGAGGAGCUGAGGGGACAGCCUGCAUCGCAAACUAUCUUAAAAAAAAGGUACAUAUAUUUUAUUCCACCUGCUCUUAUUGGUAACUGUUUCAUUAUUCUACAAGUGUCUGAAGUUCUUUAUUAAUUUUUUUGUCUCCAAAUGUAUUUGUCUUUUAUGGAAAGGAAACAAGCCUAGACCAGACUGGAGGAGACCAGACCAGACCAGAUGAUAACAGACCAGACCAGAGGGGAGCUGAGGGGACAGCCUGCAUCGCAAACCAUCUUUAAUAAAAAGAUACAUUAACUUUAUUCUAAUAUAUUAUUCUAAUUCAUUUCUGGAUGUAUUUUUAAAUGUAGGAUUCAAAUGUUAGUAUUUAAGGUUAAGUAAUGCUUCUACUAUUACAAUUACUUACACUUUUACUCUGGAAUUUAUUUGUGUGUCAUAUAGUGGAGAAGACAGAAACCAGACUAGACCAGAGACCAAGACUGGAGAACAGAGUGGAGACCAGAUGAGUCCAGACCAGAGAAGAGCUGAGGGGGCAGCCGACAUUGCAAACUAACUAAAAAAAAAAAUAAAUAUAUUUUAUCCUUCAUUUAAAUCACAAUUGUUUCACUGUAAAAUUGUUUCAGUCGGAGUCUUCAGUGGUGUUAUAACUUUUCUUUUUCCUCUUAUGUGAUUUGUCUUGUACAGAGAAGACAGAAAAGCAGUCCAGACCAGAUACCAGCUGAGGGGGCAGCAUACCUUACAAGCCAUCUUUAAAAAAUAACGUAAGUUUUUACCAUGCCUUUUUUUUUUUUGUUUUGAUCAAAAUUACUUCACUGUAAAUAUUAUUAUUUCAAAAUUGUCUUCACUUGUUAACUUUUUUGUCGCCCACAUUAUUUGUCCUUUACAGAAAGGAAACAAGUCUAGACCAGACUGGAGGUGUAUAGAUAAUGUCUGAAAUCAGCGUGUUCGUUUUUGUGGUCAGUUGGAGUGGAACAUGAAGCUGUGGUGGCCUCACUGUGAAGCUCUCAUCGCCUACCUGAUGACCUACAGUCACACUAUGAG
rnacentral:lncRNA from 1 species